AUGGCGGUUCCGACAAAGUCGUUGUGUAUGAAAGGUUCCUUCUAUCGCCGCUUCAAUUGAUAUUUUCCUUGAAUUCAAAAUCAAAGUUACUCCACGUAUCUAAGUGAAAACAAAAAAAUAGAAUCAGAUUCAUUUGAAACAACAACAAUAAGAGAAACAAAAAAUCAUCAAUGGGUAUUUUGAAGGUAAUAAACAAUGAAAUCUAUAAUCAAAACUCAAAAAAUUCAAGGCCAAUAAGAAGAGAGAAAAGCAAUAAGAAGCAAAUGAGAAAAAAAAAUUGAUGUUUACCGUUGAUUGUCUUCUGCAAGCCAAUAAUGAAGAAAAAAUGGAGGAAAGCAGUAGAAAGAAGAAUAUCAAAGGGCUAGGUGGAAAACAGAGAGAAAUAGGGGGAGGUUUGAGAUUCAAAAUUUGAAGGUGUUAUUUUGAAUUUGAAAUUUGAAUUGAGGAGCUUGCAGCAAUGUGAUUUGUCUCUGAUAAAGUUGUUUUAGGUUGCAUGUAAAAGGGAUGAGUGAGAACAAUUCAGAAUUUGCCUAAACAAUAUUACCCAAAAUGAAGAGAUGCUGAAAGGGACAAGACCUUUGUUGCUUCUGACCAUAUUCUUUCUUUUUUUCAUCUGUUUGGGCUUCUCGCAAUGGGCCUUGCAUUUUCGACCCAGUUUUCUGGCCCUUUGAUCAUUUCUUCACACUUUUUUCCCUCCAUCAACAAUUUU
rnacentral:lncRNA from 1 species